rnacentral:rRNA from 1 species
AUUCCUACGGGAGGCAGCAGGGAAUAUUGCACAAUGGGCGAAAGCCUGAUGCAGCGACGCCGCGUGAGGGAUGAAGGCCUUCGGGUUGUAAACCUCUUUCAGGAGGGAAGAAGCGAAAGUGACGGUACCUCCACAAGAAGCCCCGGCCAACUACGUGCCAGCAGCCGCGGUAAUACGUAGGGGGCAAGCGUUGUCCGGAUUCAUUGGGCGUAAAGAGCUCGUAGGCGGCUCAGCAAGUCGGUCGUGAAAGCCCGAGGCUUAACCUCAGGACGCCGAUCGAAACUGCUGUGGCUAGGGUCCGGUAGAGGAGAGUGGAAUUCCCGGUGUAGCGGUGAAAUGCGCAGAUAUCGGGAGGAACACCAGUAGCGAAGGCGGCUCUCUGGGCCGGCACCGACGCUGAGGAGCGAAAGCUAGGGGAGCAAACAGGAUUAGAUACCCUGGUAGUCCUAGCCGUAAACGUUGGGCACUAGGUGUGGCGGACUCAUUGACGUCUGCCGUGCCGUAGCUAACGCAUUAAGUGCCCCGCCUGGGGAGUACGGUCGCAAGGCUAAAACUCAAAGGAAUUGACGGAAU